AGGGUUGAGGUGAUCAUGGUAGGUGCCACCUUGGAGUUAGGCAGCUCCCUUUUUUCCUUCUCUGGGGUCGUUUGCUGCUAGAAGUUACCAUUGUGGCAUUAGAAUAACACUGGUCAACACAGCCCUGGUGUCCUCAACUUCUCAGACUGACAGCUGGAGUUGCCAAUCUACUCUAUCAGAGUGAAUAAACGAAAGUAAAGGGUAGGGGUCGGCCCCAUGGCCAAGUGGUUAAGUUCGAGUGCUCCACUUCGGAGGCCCAAGGUUUCACCGGUUUGUGAUCCUGGGCGCAGACAUGGCACAGCUCACCAGGCCAUGCUGAGGUGGCGUCCCACGUAGCACAACCAGAAGGACCUACAGCUAGAAUACACAACUAUGUACUGGGGGGAUUUGGGGAGAAGAAGGAAAAAAAAGAUUGGCAACAGAUGCUAGCUCAGGUGCCAAUCUUUAAAAAAGAAAAAAAGACAGUAAAGGAUGCUGUGGGCCACACUUCAGUUUUCCUCCAGGACUUUUAAGAUGGUGUGGUAUAUGAGUAACCUUGAGGGAGAGGCCUGGGGUCAUUUAUUUCCUGUGUGGGGAAGGGAAAGCACUGACAGUCACCCUCCUGGAACACCCUGACCACCUGAGCUUCAAAUACUUGGGCGGGGGGUGACUAAUUCAUUUAUUGUUCAACUAUUAAUCGUGCCUCAGACCUUCAGCAGGAAAUGGAAGACCUAAUCUGGGGAAGGGGGGGAAGGGAGGCUUGGUGAAAUUCACCCUCAGGAAGGGGUGGGGUCACCAACAAACUACUUGAGGCUCUAGAGAACAUCCUGUGAGAUUCUGGGCCUUGUUCUUGAGACGUCCAUGCUGUUGCUCUCUCUCAGUUCAGCAGUGAAGCCCUUACCCUGAGAGGGCCAGAGCCCUCUUCUCAGAGCCAGCGGGAGGAGGCGCUGAGGCUGAGCCCCACUUUGGGUCCAGUCCUGAAGGAAGAAGACCUCAGAGGUGAGAGCAGAUGACAGCUCUGGAAGGGCCAGAGAGACAGGGAUCCCCUCGGGAGGAACGAGGGAAGAAGGUGAAUGCGGUGGCUUCCCCCUGGACCGCAGCCCCCGGGAGGUUUGCCCGCAGCGGGGUAAGUGGCCGUAGGUUCAGGGCUCCUCCCCGUGAUGCAGGCGCUUCAGUCCUGAGCCCACAGCACCGGCGCAGGAGAUGUUUCCCAGGUCAUCUGCUCACCUGCCUGGGCCACGCACUGUACCCAGGUGAAGCUUACUUCUGUCUCCCAGCUGCCGAACUUUGCCCUGCAAUGGAUGAAGAACCACCAAUACAAGGCAAUGCAAUGCAGUGCAUAUGUGUGUGUGAAGCACCCCCAGGGUGUCCACCAGUGUGCCAAGUGCUGUCCUAGGGAACAAAAUGAAUCUGACUUACUCUCUGCCCUCUAUGGUAAACAACCUCUGACUUGUGACGGGAGAUGAGGGAAAUCACGCACAGGUUAAAUGAGUUGACUGCUCCUUAGCAGAAGAACUAGGACUAAGUUCUUCUGCUUGUCUUAAAGUAGAUCAGUGAUUUAUUCAUCAAGAACAUCAGGGAGAAGAUGAGAGGCCGUGUCCACUCAGAUUCAGGUGCUAGAAAGUUCGGAUCCCCAUCUUUGAUUGCCUAGAUUAUUGGAAGGCCUCUUUAAAAGGAGGAAAAGAUAAUAGAAAGUAUCAGGGGGCAUUGCAUGUAACAAGAAUAAGAGCCAUUUUAUGAAACUUUGUAAUGUGCCAUAUAUGGAUAUUGGGUAAAAAUGCAACAUGUUUUGUUUACUAUAGGUCCCAAUCAAAAAAUAAGGCCAAAGCAUUUAAUGAGAGCUAGUGAUCUUUAUAAAAUGCAAAUCCGAUCUUUUAUGCUCUUGCUGAAAGCCCUCAGGAGACCACGGGGCCUUCAGGUCUUAGAUUUGAUUUGCUUCUUUAAUUUGCCUUCCUGUCAAUCAAGUCACCCCCUUCCUGCUUCCUUCUCCGCCCCUGCACCUGCUUGCCUCUUCUAGUCCUCAGGACUCAGCUCAGUGCUCGCUCCUCCCAAGAAGCCUUGUCUUACAAGAAAGUUGUUUCCCAGUCAGGACACGUUUGUGAAAAUCUGGACAAUACAAAGUUUACAGACUUCUGAAAGACGUAGCUUUUUACGGUUUUUAAUUUACCAACGCACUUGUGAUGAUGGAAGGAAAGGUGGGAAAUGCAGUGUCCAGUAUUUCCCAGACUGCGCUGUCCACACAGCUCCUCUGCUGCGGCAUGUCUCGCAGGCACGCCCUUUGGGAAGCUUGGAGCUUGCUCAUUUCUCAAAUGCUCGUGAUGGAAUCAGUGUUGGCAGAGAGAAGGCGAGUGGUCGCUCCAGGCAAAGGAAGUGUAACAAGAGUGAAGUCUGCAGAUUGGACGAAGCAUGUUUGGGUCCCCUCUGAUCUGUUGACCUUUUGCCAUCCAGUUCCCGUCCAGGUCUCGCUAGAGGAAGUCCAUCAGUGACAUUUUCUGCCACUGGAUCCAGCAGUCACUUCUCAGACCUCAUUCGUCUUUGACUUCCCUGCAGCACUCCCCUCUUCCUGAGGCUGUGCCAGCCAAGCUGCUGGAGCCUCGCGGGUUGUCUGCGGAACGAUGUUGGAAGUCAACGCUCUGCGGCUUCCUCCUCCCUGGGACUCUCAGGGCUACAUCUAUUUUCCAGGCUUAUCACCACAUCAAAAACUUCCAUCUUACCUCUGCCCCGGAAAUGGAGAUGGGACACUCCUUAAAGACAGUGACCAUAUCUACUGGAAAGUGAAGUCCUUGGUUGCACCUAGCACAGUGCUUUCAAUGAGGCCCCAUAAAAUAAAAACUGAUAAUGGCGAUGAUGAUGAUGACUGCCAGCCCCACACCCUAUAAACCAGACUGUGGAAAACCAAGACAGCAGCAUCUACCUACUUCUCCAACCCGUGGUUUUGAUCCCCUCUUGGGUUAAUCAUGUAGCUAAUCACCAAAGCUUCUGAGGCUGGAGUUUCCAGGCUCUUGCGCUUCCUGCAUAAUUUUGAAUGCAUUUUAAAAUUUAAGUUGACAUUUCAGAAUAUCCAUUCAUCACUUGCUCACAAUUAAAUUGAGAGCUUCUCAUGUGCACCAGAGUAACUGGUGAGAUGGGUUGGUGGGGGGCUUGGGGGAGGGGGCAGUGGGGAAGAGGAGAGGUUAUCCUACCUCAUUUAAGAGUGGUGGUUUCUCCCCGCCCCCAAAUAAAUGACAUCUUAUCGAAGAUUUUCUGACAAACCGUUUAGACAAUUAGGUUUUAGACAGAGGUGUGAUACGCAGGAAACAUCAGCCACGCUCCUCCUCUCACGUGGCACACUGGCUGGGAGUCCCCACGGGGCCACACUCCUGGCCACCAUGACCCACAGGGGCCUCCCUCUGCCGACAGUUGGGUCCCUUCUAGUCUUCUCAUCCACUGUGAAUUCAGUUCCGGGUGCCUUCAGGAGCUGCCCACAGCCUCAUGGUUCAUCCACCACUUGCAGAGCAAGAAAAGAAAAUCAAAAAGUUCCCCCAAAGCUCCCUGGCCGAAGGGGUCUGUGCUCUGAAUUUUAUCUUUGUUCUUGUGAAGACGCCUGGGCAUCAACCUGAAUGAAGCUACUUCUCAGAGUUACUGGGGUGCCUGUGACUCUGGGGCCGGCCUGCCCUCAAUUCUGUUUAGAGACCUCACUGGGAUAUAUGGGAAAGAGUCUGUAAGGGUGGGUCCUGGCUCUACCACUUAUUAACUGUGGCCCUUGAGAAAUUCCUUAGCCUCUCAGAGCCUCAGUCGCCUCAUCCCUGAAGUGGGUUAACUGGCGAAAGGGUUAGGAGAUGAUGUGGCAGAGGACCCGGCGCAGAGCAGCUGCUCGUUUGUUGGCGGGCCCACAGGUAUGGUGGGGCGUGGCUGCAGGUGCUGGGCAUUCAGUGGCGAACCACCUGCCCUCAGUGAGCUCGCCUUCUAGCGGGAGUUAAUCAGGUGUUAGUCCCCUUUCCCAGUUUACCCCUUCCUUUUUCUUAUUCAGAACCAGGAUAUCUACAGUUAUGUCACAUAUGCAAUAUUUUAGAAAAGCUGUUGGCUUGUGAUAUUCUAGCCAAGCCGAGGUCUGCUUCUUCUGACAGAGUCCAGGUGAAUAAUGAUUUUUCUCCAGAGGAAUACAAAAUAAUCUGGUUCAUUGACUUACUACCCUUAUUCCUCUGGCAGAAAGAGGAGACUAGAAAACUCAUACCAGAAAGUAAAUCAUGUCACUUGUGCCCAACUUCCAGGCCUAGGAUCCCCGCCCCAUGUUAGGUGUCAGCUCCUGCUAGCCCACCCAAGGGUGGGUCCAAGUUAGUAAGAAUGCGAGCUUCUCAGGAGGCAACAGGACUAACUGGAGAGACGUGUGUGGGCAGCUGAGAAGGCCAUGGCUGUGUCUGCGGAAUGCUGAAUAUCUGUAAUUGGGAGGAUGACAGGGCAGGGAAUAAAGGAUGCAGUGCUUUAUAAUUGGAACAAGACAUUUAUUUUAUAAAAUAAAAUCCCAGUAUUUGGCAUCAUAUAGACCAAACACAGACUUUUUUCUUAUUAGCUGAAUUUCUUAAGUUUUAUCAGACAUUUUGAAUAACCCAAACAAAACAGAGCGUGACCUGCUGACGCUCCUCAUGUUAUCACAUCGUCUCACUCACUUUGUAUGCAUGUGACUGCCUUUCGGUCUUCAGCAUUCAUUCAUAUCAUCAUCUCACUCGAUCCUGCCAGUGAGAUGGCCAGUCAGGUAUUGUUACAGCCAUGUUUUUAAUGGAUGAGGAACUGAGGCUGGAGAAGUCAGGAGAGUUGCCAAAGUUUACACAGCCGGCCAGCUGCAGAAGCAGAAUCAGAGAAAACACACCCCUAGGCUAGGCAUCUAGCUGCUGCCAUGCAGGGAGAAAGUCCACCAGCACACACCCCACCACCUGCUCUGAACACACAGGGCCACGCUCCCUGCUCACCCAACCUCCUCCUUCUCCUUCACACCCCGCUCCAUCCAAGGUAGAGGUAAACUCAAGAAAUAUAUAUACGGGACUUAACUAUUGUGUGUAUUAGGUGUUGGUUUUGUUGGGAGAAUAUUAUCUAAUAUCAGGAUUAGAGAUUAUCCAUUUUCCUGUGUAUCAGGUAGUGAUUGCAUGUAACAAACCACCCCAAAACUUAAUGGUUUAAAGCAUAAAGUCCUUUUAAUUGUUUCUGAAUCUAUAGGUCUCCUGGAUAGUUCUUUUCCUCUUGGUUGGGCUUUCAUGUGUCUGAGGCCAGUUGGCAGGUUGGGUCGGAGCAGACUGGUGCAGGGUGGCCUAGGCUGGGACUCUCCUGCAGAUGCUCUCUCAUCCU
rnacentral:lncRNA from 1 species